AGAGUUUGAUCAUGGCUCAGAACGAACGCUGGCGGCGUGCUUAACACAUGCAAGUCGCGUGCGCAGUUGCCGUAGCAAUACGGUGAUGGGCGCACGGCGCACGGGUGCGUAACACGUGGGCAAUCUGCCCUUUGAUGGGGAAUAACCCGCCGAAAGGCGGGCUAAUUCCGCAUAAGAUUCCCGAGACUUAGGUCUUGGGAUUGAAAGCAGCAAUGCGUCGAAGGAGGAGCCCGCGCCCGAUUAGCUAGUUGGUGAGGUAACGGCUCACCAAGGCAAUGAUCGGUAGCUGGUCUGAGAGGAUGAUCAGCCACACUGGAACUGAGACACGGUCCAGACUCCUACGGGAGGCAGCAGUGGGGAAUCUUGCACAAUGGGCGAAAGCCUUGAUGCAGCGACGCCGCGUGGGGGAUGAAGCAUUUCGGUGUGUAAACCCCUUUCGACUGGGACGAAUGCCUCGCAAGAGGAGUGACGGUACCAGUAGAAGAAGCCCCGGCUAACUACGUGCCAGCAGCCGCGGUAAGACGUAGGGGGCCAGCGUUGUUCGGAAUUACUGGGUGUAAAGGGUUCGUAGGCGGUGCGGCAAGUUGGGAGUGAAAUCUCUGGGCUUAACCCAGAGGCUGCUUCCAAAACUGCUGUGCUCGAGUGUGAGAGAGGCUCGUGGAAUUGCAGGUAGCGGUGAAAUGCGUAGAUAUCUGCAGGAACACCCGUGGCGAAAGCGGCGAGCUGGAUCACUACUGACGCUGAGGAACGAAAGCUAGGGGAGCAAACAGGAUUAGAUACCCUAGUAGUCC
rnacentral:rRNA from 1 species